AAAUAUACAAAACCUAUAAAGCUUGGCAGUUAUCGUUAUACAGAGAAACUUGUUUUAUAAUCGACAACACCCGAUUAGUUUAACUUAAUAAUAAAGCUUAUAUACCGCCGUUACAGAUAAAAAAAAUAAAAUUUCACAAUAAAACAAAUUAAAAAAUCAGGUCAAGGUAUAGCCCAUUAAUAAGUAAAAAUUAGUUACAAUUAAAAAAAAUUUAAGGAAGUUUAAUAAAAAAACAACAAUAAAUAGAAUCUAUAAACAAUAAUAAAUCAAAAAUACAUAAUGAAAUUUAAAGUGAUAAUGCACACAUCGCCCGU
rnacentral:rRNA from 1 species